rnacentral:lncRNA from 1 species
CCAGGUGGAACUGCAUGAUGGUUUUUUUUUUCCUCUCUGUCUUUAGGUUUACUUUGAUUGUGGCGCCAAGGUGGAUGUUGUGGAUGUGCAGGGCCUCAUUCUGUCACCUGGCUUCCCGUAUAACUAUUCAUCUGGAACUCACUGUGUUUGGCAGUUCUUUGUACCUGUUGGUCAUCAGCUAGUCAUGGAGAUGUUUGAUUUUGAUGUCUUUGAGAGUCACAACAGUCCUGCAAGAUAUACCACCACAUCUGCUGCCAUUGUGGAUGAGGAACUGAAAGAUGGUGGCUCGCUUGUAUCAAAAAGCCUCGGGAGUCCAAAGGAACCCCAGUCCACACACAGAGAGGAUGUCAAGCAAGUGGUGAUCCAAGAGCAGUCCACCAAAAUGGAGAUGACCAAAGUUUCCAAUUCUGCCAAAAUGCUUUCUGAUUCCCCCUCAGCUCCACAAGCAUCUCUUCCAGUUGAAAACAGAAAUUCUAUUUCAUCUCAGGCAUCAAGAGCAGCCAGUGACUUUAUCUCUACAAGCCCACAUACAGCCACAGAAACAGAUGACGCUUUGAGCACUGAGACCCAGCCACCUUUGUUUGAUGCCUGUCCCCAUGAUGUCCUCUACAUAUCUGAUCUCAUGACAUUCUCCUCCCGAUUCUGUGGUUCUAGACGCCCUUCUAGCAGCCAGUUGGUGUUUGGGUCUGAUGAUGACAUGGUGGAGGUCAUUAUGGAGUUGAUUACCACUACUCACUGGGGCCGUGGUUUCGCUCUCCUCUUCCAUUAUCAGAAUCAAACACAGGCAGCCACAAGAGAACAGCAGAGAUCGCUAGUGACCUCGGACAGCAGAACUGGUGCACUGCUCGGUGCUAUAAGUGGAACAAUUGUGUUUGCUGUGGCCCUUGCUGGCAUCCUCUGUGUGAUUUUCAGGUUCCAGAAGGAGUGCUAAAUUCAGCGGCAGAUGUGAGUGAACUUCAGAUGGUUUCUCCUAAUCACUUGGAGCAGCAGUCGGGUACAGUGAACGACAACAACAACCAUUCCCUCAACCGCAGUCUGUCCCAUACAGGUGCUUAGUGUCUCUUUAUCUGUCCCUCUGCCUUAUUCUCUUUUCCCUUCCACAUCACUCCCUCA